UAGGAUGGCAAUACAGCAAUUAAAAUGGC
rnacentral:sRNA from 1 species